GGUGUUUUCCGAACGCGUGAAAUAUUUCAAUUUCGGCUCGGUUAUGGAUCCGUUUUACGAGGAAGUAAACGUCCGUGUUUUAAGGGAGGUUCUGCCGGAUUUUCGGUAGAAUUCUUCCGAGUUGAAAUUCUUAGACAGUCAGUACUAGGGAUCUAGAUUUAGGAUUAAUGAUCAAUUGUUUCAGCGUUUUGAUAAAUUGUUUUUCAUGAUUAGAUAAUCCGUCUGUUCGGCUCGCUCCAACUGAGGCACCGGAGCAGAGCUAGGAAGUCGCCAAAGCUAUUCAUGACUGUUAGUUUUCCUGCAACUCUUAUCUAGUAACCCGACUCCUUCAUCAUCAGGUGAUGUAUUUGAUUUGGUAUGUAAAUUUGUAAAUUCUUAGAUCUCCGCAAUUGAAAUAGUAGAUGUAUCAGUUGUAAUUCUUUGAAGUUUCGGGGUCUCGCCUAAUUAUUCUGGCAGACCGAAUUAAUUGUGUAAA